AGCGAACGCUGGCGGCAGGCCUAACACAUGCAAGUCGAACGAACUCUUCGGAGUUAGUGGCGGACGGGUGAGUAACACGUCGGAACGUGCCUUUUGGUUCGGAAUAACUCAGGUAAACUUGUGCUAAUACCGAAUGUGCUCCUCGGGGGCAAGAUUCAUCGACAUUGGAGCAGCCGGCGUCUGUUUAGCUUGUUGGUGAGGUAACGGCGCAUCACGGCGUCGAUCAGUAGCUGGUCUGAGAGGAUGACCAGCGACACUUGGACUGAGACACGGCCCAGACUCCUACGGGAGGCAGGAGAGGGGAAUCUUGCGCAAUGGGCGAGAGCCUGACGCAGCCAUGCCGCGUAAAUGAUGAAGGUCGGAGGAAAGUGAAAUUCUUUAACCGGGGACGAUAAUGACGGUACCCGGAGAAGAAGCCCCGGCUAACUUCGUG
rnacentral:rRNA from 1 species